GACGAACGCUGGCGGCGCGCUUAACACAUGCAAGUCGAGCGAGAACCAGCCCUUCGGGGCUGGGGACAGCGGCGAACGGGUGAGUAACACGUGGGUAAUCUGCCCUCGGCACCGGGAUAGCCCGGGGAAACCCGGAUUAAUACCGGAUGGCCUUUCGAGCCCUCGGGCUUGAGAGAAAAGGUAGCUUUGGCCUCUGGCCGAGGAUGAGCCCGCGGCCGAUUAGCUUGUUGGUGAGGUAAUGGCCCACCAAGGCGACGAUCGGUAGCUGGUCUGAGAGGACGAUCAGCCACACUGGGACUGAGACACGGCCCAGACUCCUACGGGAGGCAGCAGUGGGGAAUCUUGCGCAAUGGGCGAAAGCCUGACGCAGCGACGCCGUGUGCGGGAAGAAGGCCUCC
rnacentral:rRNA from 1 species